UACGUAGGGGGGCAAGCGUUGUCCGGAUUUAUUGGGCGUAAAGAGCGUGUAGGCGCCAGGUAGGUCUGCUGUGAAAACUCGAGGCUUAACCUCGAGCUGUCGGCGGAAACCAUCUGGCUAGAGUCCGGAAGAGGAGAAUGGAAUUCCCGGUGUGAGCGGUGAAAUGCGCAGAUAUCGGGAGGAACACCAGUGGCGAAGGCGGACGUACCUGGCCUGUUCUUGACGCUGAGGCGCGAAAGCUAGGGGAGCAAACGGG
rnacentral:rRNA from 1 species